rnacentral:rRNA from 1 species
UACGUAGGGUGCGAGCGUAAUCGGAAUUACUGGGCGUAAAGGGCGCGUAGGCGGCCCGCUAAGUCGGACGUGAAAUCCCUCAGCUUAACUGGGGAACUGCGUCCGAUACUGGAUGGCUUGGAUUUGGGAGAGGGAUGCGGAAUUCCAGGUGUAGCGGUGAAAUGCGUAGAUAUCUGGAGGAACACCGGUAGCGAAGGCGGCAUCCUGGACCAAUAUUGACGCUGAGGAGCGAAAGCCAGGGGAGCAAACGGGAUUAGAAAACCC